rnacentral:rRNA from 1 species
UACGAAGGGGGCUAGCGUUGCUCGGAAUCACUGGGCGUAAAGCGCACGUAGGCGGAUCUUUAAGUCAGGGGUGAAAUCCUGGAGCUCAGCUCCAGAACUGCCUUUGAUACUGGGGAUCUCGAGUCCGGAAGAGGUGAGUGGAACUCCGAGUGUAGAGGUGAAAUUCGUAGAUAUUCGGAAGAACACCAGUGGCGAAGGCGGCUCACUGGUCCGGUACUGACGCUGAGGUGCGAAAGCGUGGGGAGCAAACAGG